AGGGCUAUUUUGUUUUUAUAUCUCAGAAAAUUACUGUAUUGUUUCAAAAAUGAUAUGUUAAAUAAAAUUGGGGAUCCAUGUUGUGUGGAACUGUUGUCUUUCGGCCAACAAAAAUGGCCGAAGGAAAGUAGUUCGGCACAGCAUGGAUCCACUACAACACAUCCAGGGGUACUAGAUCCAGUAGUAAACCCAUGAAUCCACACAUGACUCGGGUAUAAUUUCUGUGCCCAACUUACUAAAUCGUGCAAAAAUCAUGUCCUAUUGUUUUCUCCAGACAUGUUAUUUUUUGCAUGAAAUCCAACAUAAUGUGCUGCUACUGUUAGUUAAAGCAUUAGCUGUUGCUAACAACGCGCUACAACGCAAAAUAGUAGUAAAUUAAAGCACUUAUUUAACGUCCGUGCCAUCACUCCUCUUCCAUGAGGCCUAUUUAUUCAGAUUUAUUAUGAGGUAAAUGAAAAUGAUAUCUAUUGAAACAGGUUGUAUUUUACUCUGCAGUCCAUCACAAAUGUCCCAGCUAACAAGCUAGGCUGUGUUGGGCACAGUGUUUAGCUUAACUGGAGUGAGCUAACUAUUUCCAUUAAAAUGAAUAAAUAACUUCUGCUUUUGUUGCCCUGAGCAGGUCUGUAUUGUAAAAGCGAUGUUUAAUCUCAGUGGGACUUUCUGGUUAAAUAAAGAUAAAAUACAUAACUUAUUUUCGAGAGUGUAAGUCAUAACUUUCAAAAAAAAAAAAAAACCUCUUGAACAGGAAAAAACAAGUCGCACCAAAGUAUAGGUUCCAUCAGAGUAUAAGUCUUGCUUUUUUCUAUAAGUGGAGCACACUUUUUAAUACCAGGUUUCCCAGGCGGCACAUGUUUAAUAAAAGACAAGACCUCAAUGUAGCACAUGUGCACAUCAUAGCUUUUGCUGUUACUUAAUAUAAGGACUUUGAAAUUCCAACAAUAAACAACAUAGACAAAUAAACGUGUGAUGGACAACAUAUUUGGAUGUUAUUUGAUUGUUUGUUUUUCUAUAUGUGGAACUCACUUUUUAAUACAUUGUGUUCCUUUGGGGAUGAGUUUAAUAACAGACAGAAACUCAGUGUAACACGUGCACACCACAGCUUGUCCUGUUUCUUCAUAUAAGGACUUUUAAAUUCCAAUAAUUAACAAGAUGGGGACAUAAACGUGCAAUGGACAACAUAUUAUAUGUUAUUUGAUGCCAUUUGGACAACAGAAAACAUCAGAUUGACAUGGAUGAAAAACUGAAAAUUGGAUUCGGAAGCCCUCAUCUUGUGGUGUGUGUUAAAAGGACUUUUGAAUUCCAUAAAUAAGUAAGAUGGACAAAUAGUGUGAUGGACAAUGAGAAUGAAUUGCUGUUCCACAGUGGUGAAAACAUUACAGUGAGAAAUUUGUCCAUUUUUUUAAUCAGCUCUUUAAUUUGGGAUUUUUGUUAGUGUGUACUUUUAUUGUUGGGAGUUUUGUUUGUUUAGUGCAUUGAUUCCUGAGAAACCCGUGUAGAAAUAGGUGAUAAUUUUUUUUUAUUUAUUUUUUUUUGUAUAUAUGUUGCAGAGUAUAAAUCAUAUAACCUCCAAAACUAUGACUUGCACUUUGGAAAAUAUGGUAAACAAAAUAAAGGUGCAGGAUGACAGAAGCUCUAAGCUGCGGCGCUGAUGCUAGCAGUGGCAUCUGAAUGGGAAAAACUGAUCCUGGCAGGCGUGCACGUGAGCAUAUCAGCCCAUAGGGCAAAAACAUCUUGAGUGGUGUUUUGUUGGAAUGACACUCUGCAGACUCUCGCAGAUUUUCUCCUCAGCUCUUACGCGGUGGUGUGUGUGUGUGUGUGUGUGUGCGCGUGCGUGUGUGUGUGUGUGACUCCACAACAUCAUUCACAGUAUGUUGGAGCGAUGUUUGAUUUCAAACUGUAG